rnacentral:rRNA from 1 species
UACGUAGGGGACAAGCGUUAUCCGGAUUUACUGGGUGUAAAGGGAGCGCAGACGGCUUAGCAAGUCUGAAGUGAAACCCCACCGCUCAACGGUGGGCUUGCUUUGGAAACUGUUAGGCUAGAGUACUGGAGAGGUAAGCGGAAUUCCUAGUGUAGCGGUGAAAUGCGUAGAUAUUAGGAGGAGCACCGGUGGCGAAGGCGGCUUACUGGACAGCAACUGACGUUGAGGCUCGAAGGCGUGGGGAGCAAAC